rnacentral:tRNA from 1 species
GGAGAGGUGACCGAGUGGCCGAAGGUGCACGAUUGGAAAUCGUGUGUAGGGCUAAACACUCUACCGUGGGUUCGAAUCCCACCCUCUCCGCCA